AGGCUCUCUCUGAAGGUCACUAUAUACCUGAGGCCUUCUGCAGGUCUUCGCUCCCUUAUGGACGCCCCUAUGCCUGCGCAGAGAGCGGCGCUUCUGCCUUUGCACGAAUUUCUCUCCGCCGUGCUCUGAUUUCCCGAAGCAGACGAACGACGGACCGAACCCGGAGACGCCGUCAAACGGCUGUCCCCGUGGGUGUCGAUGGAAACCCGGCUCCGAGCUUCGCGUCGCAGCUCUGUAAAGGAGCCAGGUCUGUGAGCACCAUCUAGUGGCUCUGCUCACACCGACAUCGCUGCACGGCACGAACGAAGGAGCGGGGUCACAAACACGGCGACGUCAGCAGCUGCAGUGAGAGAUGCAUGCUGCAGCAGGCUUGUGGCUGGAAACCUUGGAUAAUGGAUGGUUACUUGAGGUCCUUAUCUAAGAUGCUCCAAGGAACUGCCACAAUAAAAAUAAUAAACACCAACAAUAAUAAUUAUUAACAGAAUGCAAGGAGUCUGACUCUAAUCCCAUGCUGGGUUUGUGACUUAAUGAUUCUGCUGACUUUGAAAGAGCUGCUUCUGAUUUAAACUGCUGAAAGUGAAAUCAAAAACAGAUCCUAAAUCGUUGUCCACCUUAUUUGCAAUCAAGCUAUUCUGGGAGGUGGUGUAGCUCCUUGAUGAUGCUGUUAAGACCAAAAAAUAAGUGAAAUUUUUGGAUCAAAGAAGCUUUUUUACUGAAGUCACCCACUUCAAGUCCUGGCUGAAGCAGUAGGCUGAAGAUUUUUAAAGGAACGUGGAGGGUUUUUUUAUGUAACACCUUUUUCCAAGUUGUAGGAAGACUGAGAGUGGUUUCUAACUUGGUUUCGUGUUUCCAUCAAUACUGUUAAAAUCGGAUAUUUUACUGGGUUAGGAUUAUGCUCAAGGGUUGGACAAAGCGUUUAUUUGAACAUCAUCCCUAAAAUCUAUUUUUCAAUUGCCUGUCGAUUGAGUUAAAUGACUUCCUUAAUUGCUGUGUUGAAAGAACUGUUAAUAUUUGUACUUCGGUUACCCUAUUCUCUGUCUGUGGAGGAUGGGCCAGCAGAGGGAAUUCCCAUGCUUCUUCAGGGACAAAGAGAACAUCUGCCCCAGGACCAUGUCCCAGAGGCACUGUCUUAUGACCAGCCUCAGGUUUUACCCCAAGCCCUAUGGGCAGACUGGGACACUGUUGGAACUGAGAUGGGAGCUCUGCCAAAAAGACAAUGACAAAAUAUGGUCACGGGGAAAAAUAAUUACUAACCACAGCACUGCUUGAUGGAGGAACAAAACUCAUCUUAAUGUUUUUCGACUUUUGACCAAGAAA
rnacentral:lncRNA from 1 species